rnacentral:tRNA from 2 species
GAUGGCGCAGCGGUAGCGCAGCUGACUGUUAAUCAGCGUGUCGCAGGUUCAAAUCCUGCUC